CAGGAGAGAGAGGUUCAGUGUCUUUCCCAGAAUAGACCCUUGAGGCUAAGAACAACAACAAAAAAUCCAGUAGAGCCCCAGGAGGAAAGGAAUUUGGCUUUUUAGCUGAGUAGUGAAAAGGCAAGCUGGCAAUUGCCCUUUGGCUCUGCCAGGGAAGGUCAGAGAAAGGCCUCCCCAGUGAUGGAGAGGGGAAGGAAGUGAGGGGGAGAAAAAACAGUGGAGAGAUAAACAAGCCUUGGCUGGAAGGAGGAGAGAGAAGCCCCCUCUGAAGGUACCUAGGGGUAUUAAAAGGGGGAAGUUAACAGUGAGAACAAAUAAUAAAGAUUCUUAUAUGUAGCCAAGGUUUGCUCUUUGUGUACUCUGAGACUACCAUACGUAAAGGCUGGUGUUUGAACUUGGCUCCUAGCAGUGGCAGCUUGUUAGGGAAGAGUUCUGGCUCGGGAGGCAGGAGAUCAGGCUUCUGGUCUAGCUCUGCCAUUAACCGGCUCUGGAGCCUGGGCCGCAGUGUCCCAUAUUUCAGUUGGGCUGGAGAAUAUGCAUUCCAGGAGAGCAGGGAUAUUUGUUUUGUUCCCCGAUGUAUCCCCUGGAUCUAGCACAGGACUGGCAGGAACCCCAGAUUCUUCUCCAUGGUCGGAAUCAUUGCAAAAUAACUGACGGAGUUUCACCAUGUUGGCCAGGAUGGUCUCUGUCUCUUGACCUCGUGAUCCGCCCGCCUUGGACUUCCAGAGUGCUGGGAUUACAGGCAUGAGCCACCACGCCCAGCCUUGUUUUUGUAUAUUUUGUAGAGACAGGUCUUACUAUGUUGCCCAGGUUUGUCUUGGAGCUCCACUCCAAGGUGGAGCUCAAGCGAUCCACCUGCCUCAGCCUCCCAAAGUGCUGGGAUUACAGAUGUGAGCCACCAUGCCCAGCCUUCAUGGGUUUCCCUAGGAUCACCAGCUGUCAUGGACUGAUUUGUGUCUCUCCAAAUUCAUAUGUUGAAUACUUAACCUGCCAUGCGAUUGUGAUUGGAGAUAAUUCCUUUAGGGAAGCAAUGAAGGUUAAAUGAGGUCAUAGGUGGGAGCUUAAUCCAAUGGGACUGGGGUCCCUACAAGAAGAGGAAGACACCAGAGCUCUCUGUCUCCACACACAGAGAAAAGAGGCUGUAUGAGGACACAAGAGAAGGUAAUAGCUGUCUACAAACCAAGAAGAGAAGCCUCUCCAGAAAAUGAACCCUGCUGGAACUUGGUCUUGGACUUUCCAGCCUCCAGAACUGGGAGAAAAUAAAGUUCAAAAUAAAGUUCUGUUGUGUAAGCCCCCGAGUCCAUGGUAUUUUGUUAUGGCAGCCCUAGCAGACUAAUAACACCUGCUAAUUAAACUGCUUGUUCUCCACUUGUUGUCUCAGGGUCUGUUCCUAGGGAACCUGGACUCAGACAGAUGCUCUGCUUAAUUAGACCCCAGGGAAAUGUAAAUGAAAACCACGUGUGAUGCCAUGUCACAAGUACUAGGAUAACCAGAAGGAAAUCUGACCACAUCGGAUGCUGGUGAGGUUGGGAAGCUGUCAUAUUUAGCUGACGGAGGUGUGAGUCGGCAAACCACUUUGGAAAACUGUUUGUCAGUAUGAAAUAAAGCUAAAGCUAUGUAAAC
rnacentral:lncRNA from 1 species